GCCCAGAUGGUGAAAUCGGUAGACACAAGGGAUUUAAAAUCCCUCGGCCUUCAGGCUGUGCGGGUUCAAGUCCCGCUCUGGGCA
rnacentral:tRNA from 1 species